UACGAAGGGGGCUAGCGUUGUUCGGAAUUACUGGGCGUAAAGCGCGCGUAGGCGGGCAUCUAAGUCAGGGGUGAAAUGCCAGGGCUCAACCUUGGAAUUGCCUUUGAUACUGGAUGUCUGGAGUUCGGGAGAGGUGAGUGGAAUUCCGAGUGUAGAGGUGAAAUUCGUAGAUAUUCGGAAGAACACCAGUGGCGAAGGCGACUCACUGGACACGUAUUGACGCUGAGGUGCGAAAGCGUGGGGAGCAAACAGG
rnacentral:rRNA from 1 species